GAUGAAGAACGCAGCGAAAUGCGAUAAGUAAUGUGAAUUGCAGAAUUCAGUGAAUCAUCGAAUCUUUGAACGCACAUUGCGCCCGCCAGUAUUCUGGCGGGCAUGCCUGUUCGAGCGUCAUUACAACCCUCAGGCCCCCGGGCCUGGCGUUGGGGAUCGGCGGAAGCCCCCUGCGGGCACAACGCCGUCCCCCAAAUACAGUGGCGGUCCCGCCGCAGCUUCCAUUGCGUAGUAGCUAACACCUCGCAACUGGAGAGCGGCUCGGCCACGCCGUAAAACACCCAACUUCUGAAUGUUGACCUCGAAUCAGGUAGGAAUACCCGCUGAACUUAAGCAUAUCAAUAAGCGGAGGA
rnacentral:misc_RNA from 1 species